GAUGAACGCUGGCGGCGUGCCUAAUACAUGCAAGUCGAGCGAAUGGAUUAAGAGCUUGCUCUUAUGAAGUUAGCGGCGGACGGGUGAGUAACACGUGGGUAACCUGCCCAUAAGACUGGGAUAACUCCGGGAAACCGGGGCUAAUACCGGAUAAUAUUUUGAACUGCAUGGUUCAAAAUUGAAAGGCGGCUUCGGCUGUCACUUAUGGAUGGACCCGCGUCGCAUUAGCUAGUUGGUGAGGUAACGGCUCACCAAGGCAACGAUGCGUAGCCGACCUGAGAGGGUGAUCGGCCACACUGGGACUGAGACACGCGCCAGACUCCUACGGGAGGCAGCAGUAGGGAAUCUUCCGCAAUGGACGAAAGUCUAACGGAGCAACGCCGCGUGAGUGAUGAAGGCUUUCGGGUCGUAAAACUCUGUUGUUAGGGAAGAACAAGUGCUAGUUGAAUAAGCUGGCACCUUGACGGUACCUAACCAGAAAGCCACGGCUAACUACGUGCCAGCCGCCGCCGUAA
rnacentral:rRNA from 1 species